AGCGUCUUCAGCUGUUUCUUGAAAGUGGCUAUGGACUCCGCAGCUCUGGUUGAGUUCGACAGAUCAUUCCACCAGCAGGGAACAGUCAUGGUAAAGGUCAGAGAAAGAGAUUUUGUGCCUCUUUGAGAUGGUACUCACUUGCAAAGCACAAGUUUCUGGAUUGCACAUAAGUCUGAAAUAAUGAGUUUAGGUAAAAGGGAGCAGUGCCAGUGGUUCUGUAGGCCAACGUCAGUGACUUGAAUUUAAUGCGAGCGGAAACUGCCAACCAGUGCAGGUUUGUGAGGAAAGGAGUGACGUGUGCUCUCUUCGGCUGAUUAAAGACCACUCUGGCAUCAGCAUAUAGAGGUUUGACAGAGUAAGCUGGAAGACCAGCCAGGAGAGCAUUGCAAUAGUCCAGUGUGGAUAGAACAAGCAUAGGAAAGCCCUGAGGCUGAUCCUCCUAAUGUUGUACAAGGCAAAUCUACAUGACUGGGCAGUUAGCAAUGUGGUCUAUGAAGUUCAAUUGAUCAUCAAUUACAAGCCCAAGAUUCCUGAAUGACCUUGAUGGAGUUAUGGAUGAUGAGCCUAGCUGAAUGGAGAAGUUGUGAUGAAGUGUUGGAUUGGCCGGUUCAUGGUUUAUGAAUCGUAUACUAGUAUUUCCAUCAGACCAGAGCUCAUUGUCAGUACAUCUUCCUCCAGCAGGGGUAGCUCUGGCUCUAUUAGUCUUGGUGGUGUUAUUAUUUCAGGGUUGAUGGGAGCAACCCUGCUGAUCCCCAGCAGCUGUUCAGUCGGUCUGCCUCAGCUCUGAAAGGCAUCUGUUCCUCACUUUUAAUCUUUAAUCUCAUCACACAUGCAGCAAACUUCCUUCCUUCCAAAACACUCAUUAUGAAACCAGAGCUGUCCUGUGGUGCUCUCUGAAGUUAUCCGAAAUAAUGAAUAGUUUUUGUCAAGUUUCUCCUUUAACUAGGCAAAUGGAAAAUGAUACAGAGUCCAGAAUUAACACUCAAGCCCAAAUGCAAGUAAAAAUGGGCUUUGGAGAGUAAAGUUAUUUGCCAACCUCAUUAUGGCUAUAUUUUAUAUAACUAAAUGACAUAAAUAAAGAACAUCUCGUUCUUUCUGCAUAGUUGUGCUGUGGAGCGGGGAGGUGUGGGAGUUUUUGACAUUUACUGACCGCCAUCCUGCCAUCAUCUAUAAUAUCCUCCUGUUCGGUAUCACUAGCGCUCUUGGACAGACAUUCAUCUUCAUGACUGUGGUGUAUUUUGGACCGCUCACAUGUUCCAUCAUCACUACGACACGGAAGUUCUUCACCAUCCUGGGAUCAGUGUUGCUGUUUGGGAACGUCAUCAGCCCUUUGCAGUGGUUUGGCACCAUCCUCGUCUUCCUUGGCCUGGGACUGGAUGCCAAAUUUGGAAAGUCUCCUAAGAAGACGCCACACUGAAGACUGAAAACGUGUGCGCGUGUGUGUGUGCGUACAUGGAUGCCUGCUUUUGAACCCUUGAGACAAACAUACUUAUUCUUUAAACACUUUACAACACUAAUUCCAUCAUUGGGGUACUUCAGAGAUGAUGUUUUUAGUGCUCAAAAUAUUGUUGACAUUCUGAACAUUUAAUAAUGGGAUCUAUUUAACCCAUCAUCUCUCAAAAUGGAAUCCAUGGUAACAGAGGGACAGUGCAAAUAUAUGUCUGUGCCUAAUCAUAAUCUGUUAAGCUCAUAAGGCGAAAUCUAAAAGAGAAAGGUUGGAUACAGGGAAAGAUCCUAUUUAAUACUAUAGUCUAAAAAAAUGCACACGCUGAUUGUACUUCCUAGAAGACUCCAGCAGGGCAACCACAGAAUUUUUUAGCUACCCCAAUUCGUACUUUUUGACACAUUUAUAUAUACAUCAAGAAAUGGGGAUUCAGUUCUGCCUUAAUUUAGGUGGUGAAUUAUGUUUAACGUAUGAUAAUUGUCAUUGCAUUCCCCAGGUAGCGUGUGUGUGUGCGCGUGGGGUGUUUACUUUGUGUAUGUAAUGCACAAACACCUGCUGUAUAGAUGAAUUAUUUGUCAAAACAUGGCUUUUUCAUACCAGAUGUCAUAUUUAUAUUCUUGUGUCUCAUGUCUUGUUUUGAAGUCAACAAAGCAAAUGUUUAGAAAGUUGACAUUUUUUUUACAAAAGAAUCAUCUGCAUUAUAAUGCAUCCUUGUGUCAGAAUAAAAAUUGAAUUUUAUAGAUUGAUUCUA